CUGUUUCUUAAUCAUUCUCUUUCUUCUCGAUCACUUGGUGAAUUGUGAAGUCCUUUUACCUGAGGCAAGAAAAAGAAGCUGGUCUACAUCAAAUCUCUAAUCGACCACGCUCGAUUGAACAGGUCUUAAAGUUUGUGACCACAUAUCAAUGUCAUACCUGACUAGAAAAGCAGACAGGGCAAAGAAAGAAAAAUUCUGGCCACAAGGGUCUCUCAGGUUUUGGCUAGCCCUUCCACAUGUUCCAGCAAAUGAUGUGGGCAAGAAUAAAAUUCAGCAUCCAUCAGCUUAAAGUUGCUAUCCCAGCAACUAUCGGAAAAGAGGUGAACAGUAUGUCCAGACAGCAUGGUGAAAUACGAGGAACCAAAAGGAAGAAAUGGAAAUAUAUGCAACUAGCUCUUUCUAAGAGAGUCAAAUCAGAAGUGGACAAAGCUUUGUGUGAUUAUUAACAAAGUAGCAUCAGAGCAUCCACCUUAAGUCCUCGAUAUCAAUAUUGUGCUGGGUAAAAGAUACCCUCUCCAUAGUUCCACAAUG
rnacentral:lncRNA from 1 species